CGGCGCGCCGCCCGUGACCUCGAUGGCUGGCAGAGGCUGGAUUUCGGCGAACGUCGUCAUGGUCGUGGGCAGCUGGAUCUCUUUGGGGAUCAGGUGUCUACUAACUUCUGGAACAUGGCAUAGAAGAAAUGGGCCAGACUAUUUAUGGGAUUUCAUUGGGAGGAUUGUUGCCAACAAUCCCUUUUCUCUCCUACCAGCAGGAUAAGAAACAGAAAACACUGGAAACCAUGGUGUCUUUUUGCUAUGGACAAUUGUCUGGUGUGGUACUUAACAAUGCUACAGCCAUGUUAUAGGCACGAG